rnacentral:lncRNA from 1 species
AUGUACAUAGCUCAAAUACUACCAAUUGUCGCAUGGAACGAGCAAACGACUUUUUGAUACGUGCAAGAAUAAGAACCUAAUGCAAGACCUUUAGAAAUAUUUAUGCUGCUCUUUAGAGUAAAGCACACCAACUUAGAUUAUUAAAGCAUGUGUCACGCCAGUUUCGGUGCGUAUUUGCUGCCCUUAUACCGGCAACACUGGGGAGACGUCGCUCAUGUGAGGUACGACUAGUAGGUGACGAGCGAACGCAACAGCCAU